rnacentral:misc_RNA from 1 species
AACGCACCUUGCGCUCCUUGGUAUUCCGAGGAGCAUGCCUGUUUGAGUGUCAUGAAAUUCUCAACUGCCUUCUCAGCAUUUAUGUUGAGGGGGUGAAGUUGGAGUUGGAGGAUAACUGCUGGCGCGACUCAGGUUGCUUGUUGGCUCCUCUUAAAUGGAUGAGCUUUUCUGAUGGAUCAUGGCUCGGUAACACUAAUGUGAUAAUCAUCUACGUUAGAUGUGAACGCCGUGAGCGGAGCGACUUUUUGAAGCUCCUACGGAAAAGGACGUCUUUUGACUUGUAACGAAAUCUGACCUCAAAUCAGGUAGGACUACCCGCUGAACUUAA